CGGGACCCGUACGGAUGCUCCAAACUCCUGAACAAUAAUCCACGAAUAGCUGCUAACAGCCGAACAAAUAUAUCCUCCAAGCGGCUUACGGUUCCAGCAAUCAGUCGCUAACCGUGUGUAGUAAAUCCCCCCAAUAACGAGACCAAUCUCCGCAUUGAGGGUAAAACAAGAACUGGCUUUACUGUGGGCUACCCGCCCGUAUAUAGCGCUCAGUUCCCAUACGCAUAGUUCAAUCGCC